CUACAGGCCUGGUCCCGGCCUUAAUAUCAACUUUUGCUAAACUUACACAUGCAAGUAUCCGCACCCCAGUGAGAAUGCCCUCAAAACCUAAAGGACUAGAGGAGCAGGUAUCAGGCACGCAUACAUGCAGCCAAAAACACCUUGUUAAACCACACCCCCAAGGGUACUCAGCAGUGAUUAAUAUUAAAACAUGAACGAAAGCUCAAAUUAGUUAAAGCAAAACAGAGCCGGUAAAACUCGUGCCAGCCACCGCGGUUAUACGAGAGGCUCAAGCUGAUAAUUAUCGGCGUAAAGAGUGAUAAUCCUAAUAUACUAAAGUUAAAUACCUUCCAGGCUGUUAUACGUACUCCGAAGACUACAAAACCUAUAGACGAAAGUAACUUUAAAAUGAAUACGAAACUCACGAAAGCUGAGAAACAAACUGGGAUUAGAUACCCCACUAUGCUCAGCCGUAAACUUUGAUAGUAAAAUACAAUUACUACCCGCCAGAGUACUACAAGCGAAUAGCUCGAAACCCAACGGACUUGGCGGUGCCCCAGACCCACCUAGAGGAGCCUGUUCUAUAACUGACACCCCCCGUUAAACCUCACCACUCCUAGCCAACCCAGUUUAUAUACCACCGUCGCAAGCUCACCCUAUGAAGGUCUAAUAGUAAGCAAAAUGAUUAAAACUCAGCACGUCAGGUCGAGGUGUAGCGAAUGGAGCGGGAAGAAAUGGGCUACAUUUUCUAACACAGAAAACACGGAUAAUUCUAUGAAACUAGAAUUUCAAGGCGGAUUUAGCAGUAAAAAGAAAAUAGAGUGUUCUAUUGAAACCGGCUCUGGAGCGCGCACACACCGCCCGUCACUCUCCACUACAUCCAUUAAAGCUAUCACCAGCUAAACUUCAUAAUUAACCAAAAAUACCUAGAGGAGACAAGUCGUAACAUGGUAAGUGUACCGGAAGGUGUACUUGGAACAAU
rnacentral:ncRNA from 1 species